AUUAGCUAUCAUCUUCUUCAUUCAAUCGUUUCUACCAGCAACAGCCAUGGUUAGGAUUUUUUCAAACUCCCAAGCUCGAUUGCUAUAUUUGAAAUGAUAGAGCAAGGAAAAUUGAAAUUCGGGCUAAAAUUGGCAAAAUACCAAGUUGUGGACAAAAUGGUAAAAAUGACCAUUUUCGCAUACGAGUUUUGGCAAGUCGGCUCGAGGUUGAAGAUCGUCGGAGGCAGAAUCACACUAUCAACCUAUCACUUUUGGGAGAAUUAAUUCAAAUAUUAGAAAUAUCAAGUGAGUGGCAUGUAUAGGAAGUUAGUUUGUGAUAUGUAUUAUUAUUAUGACUUUGGCCAAACGUAUUGGUCUGCAUUGAGCUACCAUAUAUGGUCAUGAGAUAUGACCUUUAUUCAUUAUGGUUUGUAAGUUUAAUUAAACAUGUUAUAUCUUAUGUUUGUGAUGUAAUGAUAUAGUUAGGUUUGUUUGUUA